UAGGGAAUCUUCGGCAAUGGACGAAAGUCUGACCGAGCAACGCCGCGUGAGUGAAGAAGGUUUUCGGAUCGUAAAACUCUGUUGUUAGAGAAGAACAAGGACGUUAGUAACUGAACGUCCCCUGACGGUAUCUACCCAGAAAGCCACGGCUAACUACGUGCCAGCAGCCGCGGUAAUACGUAGGUGGCAAGCGUUGUCCGGAUUUAUUGGGCGUAAAGCGAGCGCAGGGGGUUUCUUAAGUCUGAUGUGAAAGCCCCCGGCUCAACCGGGGAGGGUCAUUGGAAACUGGGAGACUUGCGUGCAGAAGGGGAGAGUGGAAUUCCAUGUGUAGCGGGGAAAUGCGUGGAUAUAUGGAGGAACACCAGUGGCGAAGGCGGCUCUCUGGUCUGUAACUGACGCUGAGGCUCGAAAGCGUGGGGAGCAAACAGG
rnacentral:rRNA from 1 species